rnacentral:rRNA from 1 species
GUAGGUGGCAAGCGUUGUCCGGGAAUUAUUGGGGCGUAAAGCGCGCGCAGGCGGUUCUUUAAGGCUGAUGUGAAAGCCCACGGGCUCAACCGUGGAGGGUCAUUGGAAACUGGAGAACUUGAGUACAGAAGAGGAAAGCGGAAUUCCACGUGUAGCGGUGAAAUGCGUAGAGAUGUGGAGGAACACCAGUGGCGAAGGCGGCUUUCUGGUCUGUAACUGACGCUGAGGCGCGAAAGCGUGGGGAGCAAACAGGAUUAGAUACCCUGGUAGUCCACGCCGUAAACGAUGAGUGCUAAGUGUUAGGGGGUUUCCGCCCCUUAGUGCUGCAGCUAACGCAUUAAGCACUCCGCCGUGGGGAGUACGGCCGCAAGGCU